AUUCCCCUGCGGUGUUCGUUCGGGCCAUAUACUCUUUGAACCAAUAACAUCGCUGUGGCUGCCGACCCAAGCAGUUUCGGUGUGCGCGUCCCACGCGGAAGCGCCUGAAGAAACUCGGAAGGUAGCCGCCUUGAACCUCAGGUUCAAGAUGCUGGUCUGAAGCGGCACAGGCGGGGGAACC
rnacentral:other from 1 species